UACGUAGGGUGCGAGCGUUAAUCGGAAUUACUGGGCGUAAAGCGUGCGCAGGCGGUUUGCUAGGACAGGUGUGAAAUCCCCGGGCUUAACCUGGGAACUGCGCUUGUAACUGGCAAGCUAGAGUGUGGCAGAGGGGGGUGGAAUUCCAGGUGUAGCAGUGAAAUUCGUAGAUAUCGGGAGGAACACCGGUGGCGAAGGCGGCGACCUGGGUCGAUACUGACGCUGAUGCGCGAAAGCGUGGGGAGCAAACAGG
rnacentral:rRNA from 1 species